rnacentral:rRNA from 1 species
AUUGAACGCUGGCGGCAGGCCUAACACAUGCAAGUCGAACGAGUGGCGGACGGGUGCGUAAUGUCUGGGAAACUGCCUGAUGGAGGGGGAUAACUACUGGAAACGGUAGCUAAUACCGCAUACCAUCAGAUGUGCCCAGAUGGGUUUAGCUAGUAGGUGGGGUAACGGCUCCCCUAGGCGACGUUCCCUAGCUGGUCUGAGAGGAUGACCAGUCACACUGGAACCGAGGCACGGUCCAGACUCCUACGGGAGGCAGCAGUGGGGAAGAUUGCACAAUGGGCGCAAGCCUGAUGCAGCCAUGCCGCGUGUAUGAAGAAGGCCUUCGGGUUGUAAAGUACUUUCAGCGGGGAGGCGUUACCCGCAGAAGAAGCACCGGCUAACUCCGUGCCAGCAGCCGCGGUAAUUC